CGCUGGCGGCAUGCUUUACACAUGCAAGUCGAACGGCAGCACGGGGGCAACCCUGGUGGCGAGUGGCGAACGGGUGAGUAAUAUAUCGGAACGUACCCAGGAGUGGGGGAAACGUAGCGAAAGUUACGCUAAUACCGCAUACGACCUACGGGUGAAAGUGGGGGACCGCAAGGCCUCAUGCUCAUGGAGCGGCCGAUAUCUGAUUAGCUAGUUGGUGGGGUAAAGGCUCACCAAGGCAACGAUCAGUAGCUGGUCUGAGAGGACGACCAGCCACACUGGAACUGAGACACGGUCCAGACUCCUACGGGAGGCAGCAGUGGGGAAUUUUGGACAAUGGGGGCAACCCUGAUCCAGCAAUGCCGCGUGAGUGAAGAAGGCCUUCGGGUUGUAAAGCUCUUUUGUCAGGGAAGAAACGACCCCUUCUAAUACAGGGGGUUAAUGACGGUACCUGAAGAAUAAGCACCGGCU
rnacentral:rRNA from 1 species